rnacentral:rRNA from 1 species
GGAAUUACUGGGCGUAAAGCGUUCGUAGGCGGUUGAAUAAGCAAGAUGUGAAAGCCCAGGGCUCAACCUUGGAACUGCAUUUUGAACUGUUCGACUAGAGUACUGUAGAGGGUGGUGGAAUUUCCAGUGUAGCGGUGAAAUGCGUAGAGAUUGGAAGGAACAUCAGUGGCGAAGGCGGCCACCUGGACAGAUACUGACGCUGAGGAACGAAAGCGUGGGGAGCGAACAGGAUUAGAUACCCUGGUAGUCCACGCCGUAAACGAUGUCAACUAGCCGUUUGUGUCCUUGAGACGUGAGUGGCGCAGCUAACGCACUAAGUUGACCGCCUGGGGAGUACGGCCGCAAGGUUAAAACUCAAAGGAAUUGACGGA